UACGGGGGGGGGCAAGCGUUGUUCGGAAUUACUGGGCGUAAAGGGCUCGUAGGCGGCCAACUAAGUCAGACGUGAAAUCCCCUCGGCUUAACCGGGGAACUGCGUCUGAUACUGGAUGGCUUGAGUUCGGGAGAGGGAUGUGGAAUUCCAGGUGUAGCGGUGAAAUGCGUAGAUAUCUGGAGGAACACCGGUGGCGAAGGCGGCCAUCCUGGACCGGACUACUGA
rnacentral:rRNA from 1 species